GGGGGUAUAGCUUAGUGGUACAGCAUUCGACUGCAGUUCGAGAGGUCCUCGGUUCAAACCCGUGUGUCCUCU
rnacentral:tRNA from 1 species